rnacentral:misc_RNA from 1 species
CCAGACGAGCUUGCGGUGAAGCAGGCGGAUGGGCACGUCGAGGCCUCGCCGCUGCUGCUGGACUCCGUCUCCGAAACCACCGCCGCAGCAGCGGUGGCAGCGGUUAGGGUUAUGGUUCCGGGCAGCGGGGGACAUGCCUCCGUAUCCGCAGCGCCCUCCGCCGGCGGAGGGGCCGGUGCGGCGGCCGGCAGCGAGGACUUCUUCUUCUUCUUGCCCUUCUUCUUCGAAAGCGACGGUUUCAUCGCGCCGGUGGCCGUGGCUUCCCCCUGGACUUUCCCCGUCCCCAAUUGUUCUCCUCUCCGUCUUGGCCGCUUGGCGUCGCUCGAGGGUGGGUUUCGAUUUCCAGAAUUUUUUCAGUCGUG